ACACCGCCCGUCAAACCAUCUUAGUUGGGGGUGGGUGAGGCUGCGCUUUAUGGCGUAUUCGAGCCUGCCUUCGACAAGGAGGGUUAAGUCGUAACAAGGUAUCUGUAGGGGAACCUGCAGAUGGAUCACCUCCUAAGAAA
rnacentral:rRNA from 1 species